CGUUCCCCAAUCCACAACCAACCCAUCCCCGUUUUUCAACUGGUUGUUCAGUACAUAUCAAUUGAACGUCAAAACGUACUGAACGCAGACUAGGGAAAGCCGUGAUAGCACGACAAACCAAUCAUUAUGGGGCUAAUGCACGCCUCUUUAGCUUAGCUCGGCCAAUCAGAGUGUGUGAUUCUGAAGGGAGUGCACCAUCCCCCACUAAACCGCCCUGCCAAGCUGUAGUUUAGGAAGUUAAUGACGUCUCUGCAUUUGCAGGCCGCCGACGCAGGGUUGGGUUUCUAUUUUCACAGCCGGGAUUCGGGGGGAACAACAACAUGGAGCCGGAGAUGGAGGACAACACGUUGGAAUUAAUGAGCUCUGUGCCUCGCUCUCUCUGGCUGGGCUGCUCCUCGGUGGCAGAGAGUUUGUGUGCACUCAGGUGCCUGCAGAGCAUCCCCUCUACCCGGGCUCACAACCAGAACACGUCAGUCAUGGAGUCCCAGAACCACGUAGACGACCUCUCCCCAAAGAAAACCACAAUUCUCACCAAGCUUAGUAAUGGUCCUGUAAUGACAGGCUCUCGUAAGCGUCCGUCAGAGGGGAACUGUGACAAGGAGAAGGAGCAGUGCAUCGCCCUGUUUGACCAGUGGUCUGAGACUGACCAGGUGGAGUUUGUAGAACACCUCAUCUCCCAUAUGUGCCACUACCAACACGGCCACAUCAACUCCUACCUCAAACCCAUGCUUCAACGUGACUUCAUCACAGCACUGCCAGCCCAGGGUCUGGACCACAUAGCAGAGAACAUCCUGUCGUUCCUGGACGCACAGUCUCUGUGCUCCGCGGAGCUGGUGUGUAAGGAGUGGCAGAGGGUGAUCUCAGAGGGCAUGCUCUGGAAGAAACUCAUAGAACGCAUGGUCCGCACAGACCCCCUCUGGAAAGGCCUGUCAGAGAGGCACCAGUGGGAGAAGUAUCUGUUCAAGAACCGAACGACAGAAGUCCCGCCCAACUCCUACUACCACUCCCUCUACCCCAAGAUCAUCCAGGACAUAGAGACUAUCGAGGCUAACUGGCGGUGUGGCAGACACAACCUGCAGAGGAUCCAGUGUCGGUCAGAGAACAGUAAAGGAGUCUAUUGCCUCCAGUACGACGACGAUAAGAUCAUCAGUGGCCUUAGAGACAACUCCAUAAAGAUCUGGGACAAGCAGUCUCUGGAGUGUCUGAAGAUCCUGACAGGUCAUACAGGCUCUGUGCUCUGUCUGCAGUAUGAUGAGAGAGUCAUUGUCACUGGCUCCUCUGACUCCACUGUCAGGGUGUGGGACGUGACGUCAGGUGAAGUACUGAACACUCUGAUCCAUCACAACGAGGCGGUGCUCCACCUGCGCUUCUGCAACGGUCUGAUGGUGACGUGUUCCAAGGACCGCUCCAUCGCCGUGUGGGACAUGGCCUCGCCCACCGACAUCAGCCUCCGGCGCGUCCUCGUGGGGCACCGAGCCGCCGUCAACGUGGUCGACUUCGACGACAAAUACAUUGUGUCGGCGUCUGGAGACCGCACCAUUAAGGUGUGGAGCACCAGUACGUGUGAGUUUGUGCGCACUCUAAACGGACACAAGCGAGGCAUCGCCUGCCUUCAGUACAGAGACAGACUAGUGGUCAGCGGCUCCUCAGACAACACCAUACGGUUAUGGGAUAUUGAGUGUGGAGCGUGUUUGCGGGUGUUGGAGGGUCAUGAGGAACUGGUCCGCUGCAUUCGCUUCGACAACAAGAGGAUCGUCAGUGGUGCCUAUGACGGUAAGAUCAAGGUGUGGGAUCUGCAAGCUGCUCUGGAUCCACGAGCCCCAGCCAGCACCUUGUGCUUGCGCACACUGGUGGUGAGUUUCUGUGUGUGUGUCUCUGUCAAGGUGUUUGAGGUGAUUGUCAUGGUAAUAUAUGCGUCUGUUUUCAGGAGCACUCGGGACGUGUGUUCCGGCUGCAGUUUGACGAGUUCCAGAUCAUCAGCAGUUCCCAUGACGACACCAUCCUCAUCUGGGACUUCUUGAAUGUGUCGACCAAUGGCCAGUCAGAGGGCCGGUCCCCCUCACGGACCUACACCUACAUCUCCAGAUAGCAGGUGGCGCCAUCCACUGCAGCAAGUCCUGGAGGAGCUGAUAUCUGAUUGGCUGAUGGAGUGUGUGUUGCAGAGGUGCUCAACUCGUCUUCUUCCUCAUCCUUUUGUCAGUACCCGUUUUCUGACAAGGACUCUCCCACCACACCCCUGAAACACACACACAUCUGCACGUUCAUGUUCCAUCACUGGCUUAUGUUCCCCAAUCUACAGUAACCCACCAACAGUGGACUAGACAUAUCUUACUCCUUACAUUAGUAAAUCCCUUCAGAAGUCCUACCUUAAGCUCUAGUUCUUCAGUUCCCAACCCUGCCUAGACAUCCACGGAUGGAUAGAGAAUGACCUUGGCGCUGCAGAGUGGGAGAGAGAGACUCUUGAACUCAGCUCUGAGAGAAGGUGGAUGAGAGAUUGAGUGAGUAAAGCAGGGAGGGAGGAAUAAAGACCCCUCUCACUCCAUCUCUCCUGCUUCUUUUGCUUCUUCUGUCUGGAGUGAACACUUGUUUGGGACACACUCAAGUGUUUGUGUGCGCGUGUGUAUGGUGUGUGUGUGUGGAGACUUGGGAAAUGCGGUGAAGAGACUGGGCUUGUUGCCGUGGUUGCUGAGGAUACAGCGUCCUGGCAACACCUUUUUUUGUUUUUUCUUUUUGACUCUUACAUUCUUACUGUUUUUUUUAUUAUUUUGUAAUUUUAUUUGACAACAUUUUGUUCUUAUUAAAAUCAUACUAAGCAUUGUAGUUCUCUCUCUGUCAUUCACUGUUCUAUUGUCACAUUUCCUUUCCAUCUCUCUGAUCCUCUGGGCUCAGUUUAGCUGUAAACUGAGUUGUCUUGUCAAAAAAUGUGUAUAUUAAAAUGAUUUUUUUUUAAAAGAAAUGACAUUGUGAAUAAAGUACUUGGCAGUGGUGGUGCGUUGA